rnacentral:lncRNA from 1 species
GAUCCUCCACCCAGGAUAAGGUUUCUUGACUGAAAUCUGUUCAUGAAGAUAUCCCACCCACCUUCUACUGCCGCUUGGCAUCCUGAUUUGAGAUGAUUGCUAAAGGAAGAAAGAAAGCAGUUAAUUACCUGGGGAACUUCUGCAGAACUCCUGAAAAUGGAUGCUACAUUGCUAAAAGUAUUUUGAGCUCUGUCAUCUAAAGUAAAGAUAGUAAAUACAUGGCCCAGGAUGAGCCCAGGACAAAUUCCAGUUCUCAAUCACAGUAUGUUUUCCUGCUAAUCCUGGAUUGUGCCUCAGAAUCAUUCUCAGUACCGUGUUCCGGGUAGCUUCUACCAAUAGGUAAGAGUUGCCAAGUGAUGUGAAAUCAACUUGCCAUUUUUGCUUUAAUGAGAAUGUAAACCUGGUGUUUCCAUUGGUUGAGUUUUUCUAAUUUUGGUUCCUCUCCUUAA